GUGAAUCAUCAAAUCUUUGAACGCAAAUUGCACUCUCUUCGGAGAGUAUGCCUGUUUGAGGGUCAGCCUAAAAAAAAUCGGCAUAGUUUCUGUUUCGCGGUAACAUUCGGUGGGAAUUGGGUUCUCUUUAGCCUUUGGGUUUAAGCGGCUUAAAAUUUUCUUUUCGAUUCCAAGGACGUUUCUAAGGUUUUAUUUUCUUUUACGUUUAAAGUUACGAUCUUUUUUAGACUU
rnacentral:misc_RNA from 1 species